CAUCACACCCCGAGCAGAAGCAAACGUCAGCUUCCUCAUCUGUGGGAGGGCGCUGUGCCUGCAGAGAACACUUGGCAGGGAGUAGGGUUCCUGUUACGGAAGCGCUGGUUUCAGGUGGCAGGGAAGCAGCAUGCAUGUUGCAGUUUCAGAGCCCAAGGACAUACAAAAG